rnacentral:rRNA from 1 species
AUGAACGCUGGCGGCGUGCCUAAUACAUGCAAGCCGAGCGAACGGACGAGAAGCUUGCUUCUCUGAUGUUAGCGGCGGACGGGUGGGUAACACGUGGAUAACCUACCUAUAAGACUGGGAUAACUUCGGGAAACCGUAGCUAAUACCGGAUAAUAUUUUGAACCGCAUGGUUCAAAAGUGAAAGACGGUCUUGCUGUCACUUAUAGAUGGAUCCGCGCUGCAUUAGCUAGUUGGUAAGGUAACGGCUUACCAAGGCAACGAUGCAUAGCCGACCUGAGAGGGUGAUCGGCCACACUGGAACUGAGACACGGUCCAGACUCCUACGGGAGGCAGCAGUAGGGAAUCUUCCGCAAUGGGCGAAAGCCUGACGGAGCAACGCCGCGUGAGUGAUGAAGGUCUUCGGAUCGUAAAACUCUGUUAUUAGGGAAGAACAUAUGUGUAAGUAACUGUGCACAUCUUGACGGUACCUAAUCAGAAAGCCACGGCUAACUACGUG